GUCCACGCCGUAAACGAUGUGUGCUAGUUAUCGGGCCCUACGGGUUCGGUGACGCAGCGAAAGCGUUAAGCACACCGCCUGGGGAGUACGGCCGCAAGGUUAAAACUCAAAGGAAUUGACGGGGACCCGCACAAGCGGUGGAGCAUGUUGUUUAAUUCGAAGCAACGCGAAGAACCUUACCCACUCUUGACAUACCUCUUGGGACUUUCAGAGAUGAUUGUUUUCGGUUCGGCCGGGGAGGAUACAGGUGCUGCAUGGCUGUCGU
rnacentral:rRNA from 1 species